GGUAAUACAGAGGGUGCAAGCGUUAAUCGGAAUUACUGGGCGUAAAGCGCGCGUAGGUGGUUUGUUAAGUUGGAUGUGAAAUCCCCGGGCUCAACCUGGGAACUGCAUUCAAAACUGACUGACUAGAGUAUGGUAGAGGGUGGUGGAAUUUCCUGUGUAGCGGUGAAAUGCGUAGAUAUAGGAAGGAACACCAGUGGCGAAGGCGACCACCUGGACUAAUACUGACACUGAGGUGCGAAAGCGUGGGGAGCAAACAGG
rnacentral:rRNA from 1 species